rnacentral:lncRNA from 12 species
GAGCAACAGCAACAGUCGUGCAAAGAACUUUAAAUACAAACGACACAAAGACUGGGAGAAAUCGAGUUGCAUUGUCCAGUACGAAAAAGUGGCACUUUUUGUUUUUGUCUUGUUUUGUUUUAGGAGAACAGUGUGGUUCUACCCGAAGACCAGAGUCUCCUGCACAAAAGAAAACACUGCUCCUUCUGAAAGGGUCGUGUCUGUCAU